AACUGAGACACGGUCCAGACUCCUACGGGAGGCAGCAGUAGGGAAUCUUCCGCAAUGGGCGAAAGCCUGACGGAGCAACGCCGCGUGAGUGAUGAAGGGUUUCGGCUCGUAAAACUCUGUUAUUAGGGAAGAACAUAUGUGUAAGUAACUGUGCACAUCUUGACGGUACCUAAUCAGAAAGCCACGGCUAACUACGUGCCAGCACCGCGGUAAUACGUAGGUGGCAAGCGUUAUCCGGAAUUAUUGGGCGUAAAGCGCGCGUAGGCGGUUUCUUAAGUCUGAUGUGAAAGCCCACGGCUCAACCGUGGAGGGUCA
rnacentral:rRNA from 1 species